GACGAACGCUGGCGGCGUGCUUAACACAUGCAAGUCGAACGAUGAAGCCUAGCUUGCUAGGUGGAUUAGUGGCGAACGGGUGAGUAAUACGUGAGUAACCUACCUUUAACUCUGGGAUAAGCCCGGUAAACUGGGUCUAAUACCGGAUACGACCAAUCUCCGCAUGGGGUGUUGGUGGAAAGCGUUAUGUAGUGGUUAUAGAUGGGCUCACGGCCUAUCAGCUUGUUGGUGAGGUAACGGCUCACCAAGGCGACGACGGGUAGCCGGCCUGAGAGGGUGACCGGCCACACUGGGACUGAGACACGGCCCAGACUCCUACGGGAGGCAGCAGUGGGGAAUAUUGCACAAUGGGCGCAAGCCUGAUGCAGCGACGCCGCGUGAGGGAUGACGGCCUUCGGGUUGUAAACCUCUGUUAGCAGGGAAGAAGAGAGAUUGACGGUACCUGAAGAGAAAGCGCCGGCUAACUACGUG
rnacentral:rRNA from 1 species